rnacentral:rRNA from 1 species
AUUGAACGCUGGCGGCAGGCCUAACACAUGCAAGUCGAGCGGAUGAAGGGAGCUUGCUCCUGGAUUCAGCGGCGGACGGGUGGGUAAUGCCUAGGAAUCUGCCUGGUAGUGGGGGAUAACGUCCGGAAACGGGCGCUAAUACCGCAUACGUCCUGAGGGAGAAAGUGGGGGAUCUUCGGACCUCACGCUAUCAGAUGAGCCUAGGUCGGAUUAGCUAGUUGGUGGGGUAAAGGCCUACCAAGGCGACGACCCGUAACUGGUCUGAGAGGAUGAUCAGUCACACUGGAACUGAGACACGGUCCAGACUCCUACGGGAGGCAGCAGUGGGGAAUAUUGGACAAUGGGCGAAAGCCUGAUCCAGCCAUGCCGCGUGUGUGAAGAAGGUCUUCGGAUUGUAAAGCACUUUAAGUUGGGAGGAAGGGCAGUAAGUUAAUACCUUGCUGUUUUGACGUUACCAACAGAAUAAGCACCGGCUAACUUCGUG